UUCGAUGGCGAACCGUUCGGGCAGUCGAAAGACUGGCCGGUUUCCUUUCUUGUCCGGUAGUGCUAACCCGUGCGGUUUGCCGCCAUA
rnacentral:antisense_RNA from 1 species